rnacentral:snRNA from 1 species
AUCGCUUCUCGGCCUUUUGGCUAAGAUCAUGUGUAGUAUCUGUUCUUAUCAGUUUAAUGUACUAUUGAUAGCAGAACCUUCCGUGAUGAUGGACUUGUUCUAUAUCUGCCUAGUUUAUGAUGGUAGCUACUAGCAACAUGUGGCUGCUGAGCACUUAAUGUGGCUACUGUAACUGUGGACCUAAAUGAUAAGUUGCCAUUUACAUUUUAAUUAAU